rnacentral:piRNA from 1 species
UUUAAAAAAAAAGCAUGGUUAGGACAAU